UCACUCACUCUUUCUUCCUCUUCCCCCCUCGUCUCCUAACUUUAUCUCUCUUACUUCUCCGUCGCCUGAGAACUUCCAUGGGUGGUCGUUAACAAUGUCUGAUACUGAUUAGAAGCUGAAAAAACAGACUGGCAUGUUCAGAUCGAUUGCAAUUAAAAUCAGCGAAAUAUAUAGUUGAUAAGCUCAAGAAAAGAAGUUAGAGGAUAUCAAGAAGAAACAAGAACUUUUAAUUCAACUGUGUUACAUUCUUAAGAACAAGAGGCCCAAAUUUUUCGAACAAAGAAAAUUAGAUUGGGGGAUUAAAAAGUUGGAGAGAGCUUUAGAAAUAGCAUCAGAUGAAAACCAAGUUGGAAUUAAAGCGCAGCUUGCAAAAUUGAAAGAGGAUCUCGAGUAUGUUAAGGUAAACCAAAACUGCAAAUUAUAUCUCUUUGAAUUCCUGCUGUUUUGGGUUGUGUAUAAUUUUUGAAUCUUUAUUGUAGUUUCUGUGUGCAUAAGGUGGAUGACUAGUGUUGAUAAUAAAUUGCAUGAUUUGUUGGGUAUAUUGUGGAAUUUAUUUGUUAAAGUUGUUUUUGAACUUUUUCAAUUUCAGUUUGUAAUGUGAAAGCCUUUGUUUUCUUGUAUGUGCAUGUUUUCCGCAUACAUAUUUCUGUCUUUGUGUCGAUUUGGUGAUGGUGCAGGGAGAUUGUCUCAUUUUCUUUGUUAAUUUGAUUGGGGAAUGUGGUAACACAGAUCUGCAUUGUUGAAUUGAUAAUGUAAGCACUAAAGCAGCAAAGCAACAAUUUGUAGGUUGCAAGCAUGGGUGUUGGGAGAAAAGCCGGAACUGCAGGUGAUGUUGAGGAAAGUUGAUCUAAAUGCUGAAGAGAUGAAAAUAGCUGAAGAUAGAAAAAAUAGGAAAAAAGCUGAAAAAGCCGAAAGGAAGAAAAAGAGUCUGAAAGUGGGAACUAAAGAGAGGGUUAAAAUGAAUGCUUUGGACAGGGUUAAGCUUGCGUUAGUCUAUGUUUUGCACCGUUUUAUAUAUGGGCGCCUAGAUAUCACUGGUAUUGAGGAGAUAACAUGUCACUUGGUAGAAGACCUUGUUGAGUUCGACAAUUAUCCCUGGGGACACGUAGGUUAUAAGAAAACAUUGGAAAAGACCCACGCUGCCUUUGUUUAUCAAAUGAAUAAAUAUCAAGAUGCUGAAGUAAAACCUACAAAGUUACCAAGUAUCCAUCCUCAAGGAAUGCCAUGCGUGUUAGUGGUAUGGGCUGUUCAAGUCUUCCCGAAAUUGUUUGCGAUGUGUGGUACAGAGAAAAGAGCUAAUGGGUGGCUCCCCUAUAUCUUUAUUGUGUUUUGCACUGAUUCUCUGAACUUUGUAAAAGUCAAGGAAGCAUUGGAACCGGAUAAUUAUGAAGUUGAGGUCGUUGAAGACAUCUCGUGGCCUGAGCCUGUUUUCGAACGGCUGUUAAUUCCCGGGUUAGUUGAGGGUCCCCUGAGUGACAAAGUUGUGGUGGAGGAUGUUUCUCCAACUGUACAGCAACUUAAUGCUUGUCAAGGCAAUGUACACAUGUAUGAUACGAUUAAGGAGGAUAACAGGACGAAAGAGAACGCUAGUGAUGCGGCUUUUAAUCCUCAGCCUGAUGCUGAUAUUUCAAAGGAUAGAUUCGAUCAACUUUUCAGUCAGCUGGUAGAUAUCAAGAGUCAGAUACCCAAUUAAAUUGUCAAUUUGAACAAUACAUGCACCGGAUUGAAGGAGGAGCUUUCAUUUAUAAAGUCAAGAACUCUUCGUCCUCCAUUUAUGGGGAAUUGCGACGGUGACGGAAUGUCGGAUGGGGGAAGUUGGAAUCCAACUAAUAUAGUCAAAGAGGAUGGUAAAGAAAGUGGUGGUGGUUUGUAUGGGAAGCCUAUUAUUGAUAUUGGUGAAGAAGCUGUGGACAAUGAUAAAGCGGAAAGACGGCGUGAUC